rnacentral:rRNA from 1 species
GUGGAGCAUGUGGCUUAAUUUGACUCAACGCGGGAAAUCUUACCGGGUCCGGACACACUGAGGAUUGACAGACAGUAUUCAUGCCGACUGAAUUUCGACAUAUUUCAAAUGUGCGAGUUCUUUCAUGAUUGUGUGAUAGGUGGUGCAUGGCCGUUCUUAGUUCGUGGAGUGAUCUGUCUGCUUAAUUGCGUUUCAUAUUUACGAAUGUCGCUUACGUGAUUGCUGCAGACCUCGUCUCUCUUUAUUGAGUGCGACGCGUCUCUUCAACUCACUCGCACAUUCUCUUGAACGCAACGAGCGUGACCGCAACCUCUUGUUGUGUAUACCAAGUGUGUCGUUGCUUGCAACUCACACUCCAAUGCACGUAUUUUGGUCACAUUGUCUCGGCCGUCGCGCGCAGCCUCGGCUGUGUCGGCGCCAGCAAUGUCCAAAUAAACUUGAGGGACCGCUGUAACAAUUCUUUUAAACCAGAGGAAGGUUGUGGCAAUAACAGGUCUGUGAUGCCCUUAGAUGUCCCGGGCUGCACACGUGCUACAAUGAUCAGUACAGUGAGCAUCUUUGCAAUACCAGCGUUUGGAGGCCUGGCCAAGUCACUUGUGACUCGGCUUGCAGUCUCUACGUUGCCUUCCCAAGUCUGACAAGAUUUGGAAAUCCAUUGGAAGUCCUGAAUCAAUCCCUAUUGAGCAUUUUUCUCUACAGUGGCGCCAGACUUCGUCCCAUGUCGGUUCGCCUGACUUGUGCGGCACUUGGCGUCUACUAUAUGCAAUUGUCAAUUCAUAGUGGGGACAGACGAUUGUUAAUUGUUCGUCUCGGUCUCAACUAGGAAUGCCUUGUACGGGUCUUUGGUUCACCAGACCACCCGGAAUACGUCCCUGCCCUUUGUACACACCGCCCGUCGCUCUUACCGAUGAACUUCUCUGUGAGUUUGAGGGACCGUCAAUUGUGUGGCAACACACGACGCUAUGGAAACUUAAACGAACAGUGUGAUUUAAAG